GACGAACGCUGGCGGCGUGCUUAACACAUGCAAGUCGAACGAAGUGGCGAACGGGUGAGUAACGCGUAAUUAACCUGCCCUUCAGAGGGGGACAACAGUUGGAAACGACUGCUAAUACCGCAUACUGAAGGAGGGGAUUGCGUCUGAUUCGCUAGUUGGAGGGGUAACGGCCCACCAGGGCGAUGAUCAGUAGCCGGUCUGAGAGGAUGAACGGCCAGAGUGGGACUGAGAAAAGGCCACGACUCCUACGGGAGGCAGCAGUGGGGAAUCUUCCGCAAUGGACGAAAGUCUGACGGAGCAACGCCGCGUGAGUGAUGACGGCGUUCGGGUUGUAAAGCUCUGUUAAGCGGGACGCGGUACCGGAAUAGAAAGCCACGGCUAACUACGUGCCAGCAGCCGCGGUAAUUC
rnacentral:rRNA from 1 species